GUCCGAUGAUGAGACCAAGGCGAAUACGAGCUCACUGAAGGAGAGUUGGGUUUUUCUAGCCUUGACUGGCAGGUAAUCUUGGCAGUUCAGUGGAGGGUUGCUGUUCUGCUGUAAGGGCCUGCCAACAGUGACUUGGCUUAACCCAAAUUAUUAUUCCUAAAAAGUUAUUGUGGAGUGCUUUGGGCUAUGCUGACAGUGUUUGUGUGUGUAUGUUGUGUGGAAAAGGUCAGAAACUCACCCAGCUCUCGUAUUUGUUCAGUGAGGUAUGAGUGUGUUCUUUGGUAAUCUGAGGACA
rnacentral:snoRNA from 1 species